rnacentral:tRNA from 1 species
AAGGGAGACCUAAUUCAGGUAGGAGACGAAAAAAAAGUAGUCGCUACCAAGAAUCAAUCCCAAAAGGUCGGAGCGAGGCGAAAUUGGCUUUCAAACUAGGUUCUGGGUUCACACAAGACCUGAAUCAGGAACAAGGGCUAUUAGCUCAGGUGGUUAGAGCGCACCCCUGAUAGGGGUGAGGUCCCUGGUUCGAGUCCAGGAUGGCCCACCUGUACAGGUGGCAAAAAGAAAGAAAAGAAGCGAGGAAUCAGCACCUUAUCUUACUGACAUAGUAAGAGAGAAUGCUGGCUCUGAGUAAAGAGUCCAGAGGAACCUUGAAAACUGCAUAGAGCUAGGUGAAAAAGCCAAAAAAGAAGACCGCAA